rnacentral:misc_RNA from 1 species
AGAAAAAAAAAAAAAAAGGCCACUGCCUAGUUAAAGUGUUAAACUGUGUAUGGGAAAAACAUGAUUGCUGUUAGAGCUGCUAGAGCUAUUGUUGAGGAAAGCGCCUCCUAAUGUUAAAUAAAGAGCAUUAAAAUUAUUUUAAAGUUAAAUUUGAUAUGGUUUAGCAAUAAGAACUCCAAAUUAACUAAUCAGUUUCUUCUAAACUGCUUUUUUCAAUGGCAUCUAAAGUGAUGCUUUUCACUUAAGCAUUUUUUUCUAGCCUCCAACCUCAAUCCCAAAUAGGCCUUAGCUUUUUGAGAGAAGGCCAAGAUAAAUACUGCAAGGAUAAAUAACGUAGUGGUUAUGAUGCCCUCAGAAACUUGUAAGAGGACUAAAAUCUCUUAAUUGUAGAUGCAUUACUCAUAAAGGUUGACUAGAUAUGCUAUUACUGUGGAAUUGUCAUAUGUAUUUUAAUGUUUUAUAUCUCCUUCAAGUUUUUAUUGAGCCCUUUAUGUUCAUUUGCAGGAACAAGUCCAG